GACGAACGCUGGCGGCGUGCUUAACACAUGCAAGUCGAACGGAAAGGCCCUGCUUUUGUGGGGUGCUCGAGUGGCGAACGGGUGAGUAACACGUGAGUAACCUGCCCUUGACUUUGGGAUAACUUCAGGAAACUGGGGCUAAUACCGGAUAGGAGCUCCUGCUGCAUGGUGGGGGUUGGAAAGUUUCGGCGGUUGGGGAUGGACUCGCGGCUUAUCAGCUUGUUGGUGGGGUAGUGGCUUACCAAGGCUUUGACGGGUAGCCGGCCUGAGAGGGUGACCGGCCACCUUGGGCCUGAGAUACGGCCCAGACUCCUACGGGAGGCAACAGUGGGGAAUAUUGCACAAUGGGCGGAAGCCUGAUGAAGAAACGCCGCGUGCGGGAUGACGGCCUUCGGGUUGUAAACCGCUUUCGCCUGUGACGAAGCGUGAGUGACGGUAAUGGGUAAAGAAGCACCGGCUAACUACGUG
rnacentral:rRNA from 1 species